rnacentral:misc_RNA from 1 species
GUAGGUGAACCUGCGGAAGGAUCAUUAUAGAAUUAUAAGCGAGGGUUGUCGCUGGCCUUUCGGGGCAUGUGCACGCCCGAGCUCUUAAAUCCACAACACACCUGUGAACCCACCGUAGGCCUUCGGGCUUAUGCAUUUAUACUCUGUAUGUGUCAUAGAAUGUCAUGUUGCAUUAAAAACGCAAUUAAAUACAACUUUCAACAACGGAUCUCUUGGCUCUCGCAUCGAUGAAGAACGCAGCAUCUGACUG